AUGAACGCUAGCUACAGGCUUAACACAUGCAAGUCGAGGGGCAGCAUGGUCUUAGCUUGCUAAGGCCGAUGGCGACCGGCGCACGGGUGAGUAACACGUAUCCAACCUGCCGUCUACUCUUGGACAGCCUUCUGAAAGGAAGAUUAAUACAAGAUGGCAUCAUGAGUCCGCAUGUUCACAUGAUUAAAGGUAUUCCGGUAGACGAUGGGGAUGCGUUCCAUUAGAUAGUAGGCGGGGUAACGGCCCACCUAGUCUUCGAUGGAUAGGGGUUCUGAGAGGAAGGUCCCCCACAUUGGAACUGAGACACGGUCCAAACUCCUACGGGAGGCAGCAGUGAGGAAUAUUGGUCAAUGGGCGAGAGCCUGAACCAGCCAAGUAGCGUGAAGGAUGACUGCCCUAUGGGUUGUAAACUUCUUUUAUAAAGGAAUAAAGUCGGGUAUGGAUACCCGUUUGCAUGUACUUUAUGAAUAAGGAUCGGCUAACUCCGUGCCAGCAGCCGCGGUAAUACGGAGGAUCCGAGCGUUAUCCGGAUUUAUUGGGUUUAAAGGGAGCGUAGAUGGAUGUUUAAGUCAGUUGUGAAAGUUUGCGGCUCAACCGUAAAAUUGCAGUUGAUACUGGAUAUCUUGAGUGCAGUUGAGGCAGGCGGAAUUCGUGGUGUAGCGGUGAAAUGCUUAGAUAUCACGAAGAACUCCGAUUGCGAAGGCAGCCUGCUAAGCUGCAACUGACAUUGAGGCUCGAAAGUGUGGGUAUCAAACAGGAUUAGAUACCCUGGUAGUCCACACGGUAAACGAUGAAUACUCGCUGUUUGCGAUAUACGGCAAGCGGCCAAGCGAAAGCGUUAAGUAUUCCACCUGGGGAGUACGCCGGCAACGGUGAAACUCAAAGGAAUUGACGGGGGCCCGCACAAGCGGAGGAACAUGUGGUUUAAUUCGAUGAUACGCGAGGAACCUUACCCGGGCUUAAAUUGCAGAUGAAUUACGGUGAAAGCCGUAAGCCGCAAGGCAUCUGUGAAGGUGCUGCAUGGUUGUCGUCAGCUCGUGUCGUGAGGUGUCGGCUUAAGUGCCAUAACGAGCGCAACCCUUGUUGUCAGUUACUAACAGGUUCCGCUGAGGACUCUGACAAGACUGCCAUCGUAAGAUGUGAGGAAGGUGGGGAUGACGUCAAAUCAGCACGGCCCUUACGUCCGGGGCUACACACGUGUUACAAUGGGGGGGUACAGAGGGCCGCUACCACGCGAGUGGAUGCCAAUCCCCAAAACCUCUCUCAGUUCGGACUGGAGUCUGCAACCCGACUCCACGAAGCUGGAUUCGCUAGUAAUCGCGCAUCAGCCACGGCGCGGUGAAUACGUUCCCGGGCCUUGUACACACCGCCCGUCAAGCCAUGGGAGCCGGGGGUACCUGAAGUGCGUAACCGCGAGGAGCGCCCUAGGGUAAAACUGGUGACUGGGGCU
rnacentral:rRNA from 1 species